rnacentral:rRNA from 1 species
UGGGGAAUAUUGCACAAUGGGCGCAAGCCUGAUGCAGCCAUGCCGCGUGUGUGAAGAAGGCCUUCGGGUUGUAAAGCACUUUCAGCGGGGAGGAAGGCGAUAAGGUUAAUAACCUUGUCGAUUGACGUUACCCGCAGAAGAAGCACCGGCUAACUCCGUGCCAGCAGCCGCGGUAAUACGGAGGGUGCAAGCGUUAAUCGGAAUUACUGGGCGUAAAGCGCACGCAGGCGGUCUGUCAAGUCGGAUGUGAAAUCCCCGGGCUCAACCUGGGAACUGCAUUCGAAACUGGCAGGCUAGAGUCUUGUAGAGGGGGGUAGAAUUCCAGGUGUAGCGGUGACAUGCGUAGAGAUCUGGAGGAAUACCGGUGGCGAAGGCGGCCCCCUGGACAAAGACUGACGCUCAGGUGCGAAAGCGUGGGGAGCAAACAGG